GUGGGGAAUAUUGGACAAUGGGCGAAAGCCUGAUCCAGCCAUGCCGCGUGUGUGAAGAAGGUCUUCGGAUUGUAAAGCACUUUAAGUUGGGAGGAAGGGCAGUAAGUUAAUACCUUGCUGUUUUGACGUUACCGACAGAAUAAGCACCGGCUAACUUCGUGCCAGCAGCCGCGGUAAUACGAAAGGUGCAAGCGUUAAUCGGAAUUACUGGGCGUAAAGCGCGCGUAGGUGGUUCAGCAAGUUGAAGGUGAAAUCCCCGGGCUCAACCUGGGAACUGCCUCCAAAACUACUGAGCUAGAGUACGGUAGAGGGUAGUGGAAUUUCCUGUGUAGCGGUGAAAUGCGUAGAUAUAGGAAGGAACACCAGUGGCGAAGGCGACUACCUGGACUGAUACUGACACUGAGGUGCGAAAGCGUGGGGAGCAAACAGGAUUAGAUACCCCUGUAGUCC
rnacentral:rRNA from 1 species